UAUUAAUGUUGAAAGUUUGCCUUCAUUUUCUCUUCCGAAUAAGUUUGACUAACCUUGUGUAUUUUGAUUUGUUGGAUAUCUAUUUUUUGUAAUGCCACGAGUCCCCAGAUCUCAGCAAUUACUUAGCGCUGCACGUGGCUUACAGAUCCAAUCACAGAUCAGAAUCACACAUGGCACCAGAAAAUGGACCAUUAUCCCGCUGUACCGACCUUCCACAGAGGGAUCUUUGAUGGUGUGCAGAGCCGCUGCACAGACUGGAACAUCAACACCAUUCAGUGCCAUGAGUGUUUUCACCAUCAAUAAACAUGUAGAACUAACAGAUUUACGAUCACAGCAUCCAAAUUUAGAAUACUCCUUACAGAAGACCAGUGGCUGCCGGGGCUCAAACGGAGGCUUGUAGUCCAAACACUGGGGGUGACAGCACCCCCGUAAGGCAUGGAGGAGCAACAGCAGGACCAGAAGAAGGAGUGCUUUCCAGUGAGGACUUGCUAUAUUGGGUCACUGCGACGAUUAGAUUUUGAACGACAUGUGAUCCUCUCCUCAAGGUCAACAUAUCUUUUGUCUGGAGAAAUGUCUCUUGGUCUCCUUCCAUCUCUCAGGCUGGUCAUGACAGCCGUGACUGGCAGGACUACAGAUGGAGUGUCUGGGAUAGCCUGAAGUGCUAACAAUCAAAACACACACACAUACAUGCACAAAGAAAACACUUGCUUAUACAAUGCCUUAUGAAGCUCACAGAAAAUCACACAAAGGAAUAUUUAGUCCAUUAAGUGUACACAGAUCUGUGUAUAGUCAUUAGUCUUUGCCAUUCAGACAAAGAAAUGGAUAGAGAAAAAAAUGAAAGAAGGAAACAAGAGAAAUAAUGAAUGACAAGAUGAGAUGAGAAGAGGAAAAGCAGUAGGAUGUGUCACAGUUUAGACAUGGGGAAAAAAAGAAAGAAAUGAAGUCUUCUUCAGAUUCUGUCUCAGAUACUAUCUCAGGGCCUGAGAAACUCACUUUCCUCACCUGGCUAGUUCCCUUGGAGUGGCUCCGCUUUCUGUCUCUCUCUUUCUCUCUCUCUCUCUCUCUCUCUCUCUCUCUCUCUCUUUCUCUCUCUCUCUCUGCAGCAGCAGGUGAAGCUUCGGGUCACAACUUGUUGUUUUUCUUUUCUUCAGCUCCGGCUUUUGAAGAGCCAAAACAUGUGGUUAGAGCAGGAUGGUGUUGGUUGAACUGGAGCAGUUUCUCGGAGUCUUUGCAAGCUUUUUCAGCGCUUCGUCCAAACUCAAUGGUUCCGUUUUGAGUUUUAAGCCCACGGGCCGCUUGCAUUAGGACUAAAAGAUAGGACAAAGAAAUCUCCUGAGAAAAGGUGUGCCAGGGGGUCUCAGUCACAGGGUCAGGUAAACACAGACAGGAUUAUGCAGGGUACAAGUUAAAGAAAGGAAGAAGGAAGAAAAAGAGCACACAAGUCUAGUGUCGUCUCUUAAAAGUCUUCUUGUCCUAAACGUUUCUGACAUUAAUUUUCCUGACCUAAUCUUUCCCUUUUUUGAAAAAAAUUUCCCUAGUUUCAACACCUUAACCUCCUAUAAUUAAAACCUAAAUAUGUUUAGCUGCAUAUAUAAUUCAAACAUUGCUAACAUUAUUAUUUAGCAUAUAAACCAUAAUCAAAUAUUGUAAACAUCAAUCCAUGAAAAGCAAUCACAUAACACAUAACAAAACAUCAUGGCAUCCUUUUACGUCCAUAGAUAGGCCUAUAUA